rnacentral:lncRNA from 1 species
UGUGUGUGUGUGUAAGUGGAGCAGCACUAAGGGAGACGGCAGCAUCCUGUCUUGUAGACCUGCGUCACUGGAGACAGAGUGUCAGUGACUUGGAUAAUGGAACCAAUGGCACCAGAACCUUUCGGAUCAAAGCAAUUGGUUAUCAAUGAAGAUGAACAGGAAGGUGAGAAGAGAUGAGAACGUGAGAGAGUCCUUUACUGGUCCUCACACAACCAGAGGCCUGCCACUGGAAGUGCAUUUCAAUGACGUGAGUACAGUCCGGAGGAAUGGUGGCUCCUUGGUUUUGCCAGAGCACGUGAUCACUUCUUAUGGUUGGGUUGGUACAAUCUGUGGGCCAUGCACAGUGUCUGGGGAGACAGAGUGGUCUGCUCCAGGGCAAAGAGAGUGGAAUCUGUGACUACAGCGGAGUCAACCUAAGUUCAGAGUGCUGUACUGCAGCCAGAGGAGGUCUAGUGUUUCCAGUA